AUGUGGAGGUUGAAGAUCUCUGAGGGAGGAAGCCCGCUGCUUCGGUCGGGCAACGGCUUCCUCGGCAGGGCUGUGUGGGAGUACGAUCCCAAUGCCGGCACCCCGGAGGAGCGCGCCGAGGUUGAGAGGCUGCGCUGCGACUUCACCCGCAACCGCUUCCAGAGAAAGGAGUCGCAGGACCUCCUCAUGCGCAUGCAGUUUGCAAAACAAAAUGGCGUCGAAGCAAAUGUUUCGACCAUCAAUCUUGAAGACAAUGACAUCACUGAAGGAGCUAUACUAACUUCACUGAGGAAAGCCCUUAAUCAAUAUGCAAAGUUGCAAGCACAAGAUGGGCACUGGCCUGGUGAUUACAGUGGAAUUAUGUUCAUUAUGCCACUCUUGAUAUUCUCUUUACAUGUCACUGGAACUCUCAAUGUGAUCUUAUCAUCAGAACACAGACGUGAGAUAUGUCGUUACAUUUAUAACCACCAGAACGAAGAUGGUGGCUGGAGCACCCAGGUUUUGACAAAGAGCACCAUGUUUGGCUCAUGCUUAAACUAUGCCACCUUAAGGCUCUUAGGUGAGAUAUCAGAUGGCAAAAAUGAUGCAUUAGCCAGAGGGCGUGCCUGGAUUUUAUCUCAUGGAAGUGCAACUGCGGCGCCUCAAUGGGCAAAGAUAUGGCUCUCGGUAAUCGGUGCAUACGACUGGUCCGGAAACAAUGCAAUCAUUCCUGAAUUGUGGAUGGCACCCCAUUUUCUUCCAUUUCAUCCAGCAAGAUUUUGGUCCUUUGCUCGCAUGGUUUACAUGCCAAUGGCUUAUCUUUAUGGGAAAAAGUUUGUUGGACCGAUAACUCAAACUAUACUGGAAAUAAGAGAGGAAUUGUACAACAUCCCCUACAAUGAGGUUGACUGGAACAGGGCCCGUGAUUCAUGUGCCAAGGAAGACCUUAAGUACACUCGUUCACCUGUACAACAUAUAGUUUGGACAUGUCUAAACAAGUUUGUGGAGCCAAUGUUGAAUGUUUGGCCAUUCAAUAAGCUAAGGGCUAUAUCAUUGAGCAACCUCAUGAAACAUAUAUACUAUGAGGACGAAGCUACUUACCACAUUGGUUUAUGUCCAAUCAACAAGGCAUUGAAUAUGAUCUGCUGCUGGGUAGAAAACCCAAAUUCGGAUGCAUUCAGGGCACAUCUUCCUAGGAUUUAUGAUUAUUUGUGGCUUUCUGAAGACGGCAUGAAGGCACAGGUAUAUGAUGGGUGCCAAAGCUGGGAAACAUCGUUUAUAGUUCAAGCUAUUUUCUCCACAAAUUUGAUUGACGAGUUCGGGUCAACUCUUAAGAAAGCUCAUGAAUUUCUAAAAAGUUCACAGGUUCUUCAUGAUCUUCCUAGUCAUCAAAACUACUAUCGUGAUAGAUCCAAAGGUUCAUGGACUCUUUCAACAGCAGACAAUGGUUGGUCAGUUCCUGAUUGUACUACAGAAAUAAUCCAGGCAUUGUUGUACCUGUCUAAGGUUUCUGCUGACAUAGUUGGGCUUCCAAUAAAGGAGGAAAGAUUGCAUGAUGCCAUCGAUUGUCUACUCUCUUAUGCGAACGACGAUGGUACAUUCUCUUCAUCUGAAUCAAAAAGAACAGCUUCGUGGACAGAGGUCCUCAAUCCUUCUGAGAGUUUUCGGAACAUUGUUGUUGAUUAUCUACAUGUCGAGUGCACAUCAUCGGCAAUGCAAUGCUUUAUAUUGUUCAACGAGUUAUACCCACAGGAUUGUGCUGAAGAGAUAAAGAGAUGCAUAAAGAAAGCAGCUAUAUUUAUCGAGAACCAACAAAAGAAUGGCUCAUGGUACGGCACUUGGGGUGUUUGCUUUACUUAUGGUGCCUUCUUUGCCAUAAAAGGAUUAGUUGCUGCUGGAAGAACUUAUGAUAACAGCAUACACGUGAGGAAUGGAUGCAACUUCCUCAUAUCAAAGCAACUUAGUGGCGGUGGAUGGGGUGAGAGCUACCUUUCGAGUGAAAAUGAGGACUAUGUCCACAGUGGGAGUCCACAUGCAGUAAGCACUGCUUGGGCGAUGCUAGCUUUAAUUUAUUCUGGGCAGACUGAGCGGGAUCCAGAACCCCUAUAUCGUUCCACAAAACAACUGAUCAAAAUGCAGAUGGAAACUGGUGACUUCCCCCAACAAGAACAUGUUGGGUGUUUCAAUUCCUCCCUUUACUUCAACUACCCGAACUACCGGAAUUUAUUCCCCAUCUGGGCUCUAGGAGAAUUCCGCUGCCGACUUCUUGGAAUGAAGAAGUGA
rnacentral:rRNA from 1 species